rnacentral:rRNA from 1 species
GAUGAACGCUGGCGGCGUGCCUAAUACAUGCAAGUCGAGCGAACGGACGAGAAGCUUGCUUCUCUGAUGUUAGCGGCGGACGGGUGAGUAACACGUGGAUAACCUACCUAUAAGACUGGGAUAACUUCGGGAAACCGGAGCUAAUACCGGAUGAUAUUUUGAACCGCAUGGUUCAAAAGUGAAAGACGGUCUUGCUGUCACUUAUAGAUGGAUCCGCGCUGCAUUAGCUAGUUGGUAAGGUAACGGCUUACCAAGGCAACGAUGCAUAGCCGACCUGAGAGGGGGAUAGGCCACACUGGAACUGAGACACGGUCCCGACUCCUACGGGAGGCAGCAGUAGGGAAUCUUCCGCAAUGGGCGAAAGCCUGACGGAGCAACGCCGCGUGAGUGAUGAAGGUCUUCGGAUCGUAAAACUCUGUUAUUAGGGAAGAACAUAUGUGUAAGUAACUGUGCACAUCUUGACGGUACCUAAUCAGAAAGCCACGGCUAACUACGUG